rnacentral:rRNA from 1 species
UNNCGGGUGAAUAACGUGGGCAAUCUGCCCUGCUCUCUGGGACAACCCUGGAAACGGGUAAUACCGGAUACUAUCUGCUUGGGCCAUGGUUCGAAAGUCCGGCGGUGCAUGAUGAGCCCGCGGCCUAUCAGCUUGUUGGUGAGGUAGUGGCUCUCCAGGAGACCACAGGUAGCCGGCCUGAGAGGGCGACCGGCCACACUGGAUCUGAGACACUGCCCAUACUCCUACGGGAGGAAUCAUUGGGGAAUAUUGCACAAUGGGCCAAAGCCUGAUGCAGCGACCCCGCGUGAGGGAUGACGGCCUUCUGGUUGUAAACCUCUUUCAGCAGGGAACAAUGACGGUACCUGCUGAAAAAGCGCCGGCU